AACAAACGCUGGCGGCGUGCCUAACACAUGCAAGUCGUACGAGAAAGUUCGCUUCGGCGGAUGAGUAAAGUGGCGCACGGGUGAGUAACGCGUGGAUAAUCUGCCCCUCAGUUGGGAAUAACUCAUCGAAGGUGGGCUAAUACCGAAUAAUGCUGCGCAACGCAGGUUGCGUAGCCAAAGAUGGCCUCUGCUUGCAAGCUGUCGCUGAUGGAUGAGUCCGCGUACCAUUAGCUAGUUGGUAGGGUAAUAGCCUACCAAGGCGACGAUGGUUAGCUGGUCUGAGAGGAUGAUCAGCCACACUGGAACUGAGACACGGUCCAGGACACCUACGGGUGGCAG
rnacentral:rRNA from 1 species